rnacentral:rRNA from 1 species
GAGUUUGAUCCUGGCUCAGAUUGAACGCUGGCGGCAUGCCUUACACAUGCAAGUCGAACGGCAGCACGGGUGCUUGCACCUGGUGGCUGAGCUGGCGAACUGGGUGAGUAAUACAUCGGAACGUACCUUAUCGUGGGGGAUAACGCAGCGAAAGCUGUGCUAAUACCGCAUACGCCCUGAGGGGGAAAGCGGGGGAUCGAAAGACCUCGCGCGAUUAGAGCGGCCGAUGCCUGAUUAGCUUGUUGGUGGGGUAAAAGCCCACCAAGGCGACGAUCAGUAGCUGGUCUGAGAGGACGAUCAGCCACACUGGGACUGAGACACGGCCCAGACUCCUACGGGAGGCAGCAGUGGGGAAUUUUGGACAAUGGGGGCAACCCUGAUCCAGCAAUGCCGCGUGAGUGAAGAAGGCCUUCGGGUUGUAAAGCUCUUUUGUCAGGGAAGAAACACCGGCUCUAACACAGUCCGGGAAUGACGGUACCUGAAGAAUAAGCACCGGCUAACUACGUGCCAGCCAGCCGCGGUAAUACGUAGGGUGCGAGCGUUAAUCGGAAUUACUGGGCGUAAAGCGUGCGCAGGCGGUUAUACAAGACAGGCGUGAAAUCCCCGGGCUUAACCUGGGAAUGGCGCCUGUGACUGUUAUAGCUAGAGUGUGUUCAGAAGGGGGGUUAGAAUUCCACGUGUAGCAUUGUAAUGCGUAGAUAUGUUGGGAGGCAUUCCAAGUGGGGAAGGCAAGCCCCCUGGGAUAACCAUUUGCCGCUUCCUGCCGGCGGAAAGCGGGGGGGGGCAAACAGGGUUUAGGUUCCCCCUGGUAAGUCCCACCGCCCUAAAACCGAUUCCGGACUUAGGUUGUUCCGGGAUUUACAUCCUGCAGUAACNGUAAGCUAACGCCGUGAAAGUCAGCCCGCCUGGNGGAGNNCGGUCGCNAAGAUUAAAAUNUCAAAGGAAUUGNCCGGGGNANCCGCACAAGCGGUGGAUGAAUGUGGAUUNAAUUCGAUGCAACGCGAAAAACCUUACCUACCCUUGACAUGUCCACUAACGAAGUAGAGAUACAUUAGGUGCUCGUAAGAGAAAGUGAACACAGGUGCUGCAUGGCUGUCGUCAGCUCGUGUCGUGAGAUGUUGGGUUAAGUCCCGCAACGAGCGCAACCCUUGUCUUUAGUUGCUACGCAAGAGCACUCUAAAGAGACUGCCGGUGACAAACCGGAGGAAGGUGGGGAUGACGUCAAGUCCUCAUGGCCCUUAUGGGUAGGGCUUCACACGUCAUACAAUGGUGCAUACAGAGGGUAACCAACCCGCGAGGGGGAGCUAAUCUCAGAAAAUGCAUCGUAGUCCGGAUCGUAGUCUGCAACUCGACUACGUGAAGCUGGAAUCGCUAGUAAUCGCGGAUCAGAAUGUCGCGGUGAAUACGUUCCCGGGUCUUGUACACACCGCCCGUCAUUCCAUGGGAGUGGGUUUCGCCAGAAGCCGUUAGCCUAACCGCAAGGAGGGCGACUGCCACGCGCAGGGUUCAUGACUGG